rnacentral:lncRNA from 1 species
GCUGAGAGUGCUCCUUGGGAAUAUCAGAUGGAAGGGUCUUUGAGGAAGGAUGACUUCCUCUGGAGUACGGAGGAGCAGGUCAAAGAAUUUAGGCAUAUAUCACUGGGGUCCAGGGAUUUGCAGGCAAGGUGCCUGAGGACUCGUGGGUAGCCAGCAUCACUGCAGCCUUCAGAAAGGGUGAGAAGGAGGGCCUGCGCAACUGUAGGCUGUUCAGGAUCACCUCCCUCCCUGGCACUGAAAUGGGACAGCUUGUUCUGGAUGUCAUCUCUAAGGAGCGGUCAUGGUGGAUUCAGCAAGAGGAAGUGAUGAUGGACUGACCUGGUAGCUUUCUGUGUUGUGACUGUCUGGUUGGAUGAGAGAAGGGCAGUGGAUGUUGUGGGGUGGAAUAUCACUCCUGUCAGUAAAUAUCUAAGUGUGGAGUUGAUGGGAGUGGGCUUGUGCAGGCACAGAUGGAAGGUAUGUGGUGGUAGAAUGGGGGUAAUGUUCACAGGCUGGAACACUGGUGGUUCUAUAGAAACAGAGGGAAGAUGGGUUUCACUGUGAGGGUGAUGGAAUAGGCUGUGGGGUCCCCUUCCCUGGGGAUUUAAGUUGCACCUGGCUGUUUUUGUGGGUGAUAUGCUAUGUAGGGAGGCUGCAUGAUCUGUUCACAGGGUGAGCGCCACAGUGGAGCAUUGAGGAUCAGCCUGAGGAAGGAUGUGAGCUGUCUGACCUGCCUACCUGGUGGCCCUUCAAGAAUGUGUUUGAGUUCUUCCUGCAGGUUCAGGGUGUGUGGCAGGCCCACUGGUGGUGCUGGAGUUGUUUCAGUCUUCCAGGGCUGUUGUCUUCCCUUGGAUUGCGGUGCAGCUGGUGUGCCAGGAGGAAGGUCCCCAUCCUGGGUGCUGCAGAACUGUCAGGAGUAGCUCCUGUGUGGUGACUGCUCUGUGGUGGUGCUUCUGGUCCUGAAGGUGGGAGAUGGAGUGAGGAGGAGCUGGGUUCUGUGUUCCUGCUGAAGGAGAAAAUUCAUUUCAUUUCAAACCUCAGUGUUUGCCCCCAAAAUACUGGUGACUAACCUUACUUCUGUGGAGCGGAAAGUGGGUGAAGAUGCAUCCCUUUUGUAGAAGAAUGAGUGGCUUGUGAUGGCUUUCCGGGAAGACUGAUCUGCUGCAGGUAACCUGAGCUACUGCUUCACUGCACAACCCUUUGGAUUGAAUUGUGUGAAGCGGCUGAGUGCCUGUGAAUGGUUUCUGAUGCUGCGGUGAGUUGCCUGCUCCCAACUGGCCAUUCUCUCGGUGCCCCUCUCCAUUGGGAACUGAAGCUAGAAGUCUCUGAGCAACAAAAGAAUGAGGAGAUUGCUUACCAGUCACCUGAGAGGCCUCGGAGAAAAAUGUCAUGAAAAUUGGGGCUGUCGGGUAGUACUGUCCAUCUCUGAUUGACUUGUGUCACAUCUCUAUAGUUACUCGUCCUUUGAAGGGCUCCUUACAGAUGCCUGAAAGUCAUCUUAGAUUUUGGUUUCAGUUUAUUCUCGCAGAAUAAUCACACAUACUAACUACAUAUUUUUAGUGUUAAAAGCUAUUCUAAAAAUGGAAUCUGUGUAAAAAUAGCUUCAAUAUCGUGUAUUGUAAACCUAUAAAGGAAACACUAACAGCAGCGUUAUCUCUUUUAGUCUAUGUAAAUAAUUCCUGUAAUGAUUAUCAUCUGCCAAUAGAAUAAAUUUAUGUU